rnacentral:rRNA from 1 species
UACAGAGGUCCCAAGCGUUGUUCGGAUUCACUGGGCGUAAAGGGUGCGUAGGCGGCUUGUUGCGUCGACUGUGAAAACCUGCGGCUCAACCGUGUGGUCUGCAGUCGAUACGGGCAGGCUGGAGUUCGGUAGGGGAGACUGGAAUUCCUGGUGUAGCGGUGGAAUGCGCAGAUAUCAGGAAGAACACCCGUGGCGAAGGCGGCUCUCUGGGACGGUACUGACGCUGAGACGCGAAAGCGUGGGGAGCAAACAGG